CAGUCGAACGAAGCACCUUUUGAGAUUCUUCGGAUGAUCGAUCGGGGACUGAGUGGCGGACGGGUGAGCAACGCGUGGGUAACCUGCCCUGUACAGGGGGAUAACAGCUGGAAACGGCUGCUAAUACCGCAUAAGCGCACGAGGAGACAUCUCCUAGUGUGAAAAACUCCGGUGGUACAGGAUGGGCCCGCGUCUGAUUAGCUGGUUGGCAGGGUAACGGCCUACCAAGGCAACGAUCAGUAGCCGGUCUGAGAGGAUGAACGGCCACAUUGGAACUGAGACACGGUCCAAACUCCUACGGGAGGCAGCAGUGGGGAAUAUUGCACAAUGGGGGAAACCCUGAUGCAGCAACGCCGCGUGAGUGAAGAAGUAUUUCGGUAUGUAAAGCUCUAUCAGCAGGGAAGAUAAUGACGGUACCUGACUAAGAAGCUCCGGCUAAAUACGUGCCAGCAGCCGCGGUAAUACGUAUGGAGCAAGCGUUAUCCGGAUUUACUGGGUGUAAAGGGUGCGUAGGUGGCAGUGCAAGUCAGAUGUGAAAGGCCGGGGCUCAACCCCGGAGCUGCAUUUGAAACUGCUCGGCUAGAGUACAGGAGAGGCAGGCGGAAUUCCUAGUGUAGCGGUGAAAUGCGUAGAUAUUAGGAGGAACACCAGUGGCGAAGGCGGCCUGCUGGACUGUUACUGACACUGAGGCACGAAAGCGUGGGGAGCAAACAGGAUUAGAUACCCUGGUAGUCCACGCC
rnacentral:rRNA from 1 species